CCCACAACACACACCCAAACCACUUCUCUCUCUCUCUCUCUCUCUCAUCCAACCAUCUUUCCAAUUCCAUUCUCCCCUAAGGCAAAGUCAGAUUGGUUGCAUCUCGGCACAUCGGCAUCACAUGCAUGGAUCAAGCAAGCCAACCGCCGUGGCAGUGGCCGACGGAGGACCUGAAAUUUCUCCAUGGGGUGGGUUGUUUUUCAUUAAUUCCCGCAUCCUUCUUGCCCACUGAUUGUUCCUAGCCUGGCCCUAUCCUAUCUGAGCUUUUAUUGUUUUAAUGUUUUUGUUUUUUAAUUUGGUCCAGUCUUCUUGACCUUGUAAGACCUUUUCUUGACCUUGUAAGACCCAAUAGUAUACCCCUUCCCUCUACCUUCCAUUUGAUUUCAUGCUCUAUUUUGGGAGUGACCCAUGUAGAGUUUGAGUACAAUCUAUCCCUAUUUCCACCCAACUCAUCUUCUCCUUCCUUGUCUAUCCCUCCUGAGCUGCUCUUUUUAAUCUAUUAAUUACCGCCCAUAUGUACAAUAAUAAUAAUAAAUAUAUUAAUUAAAUUAAACCAAAAACCCAACCCACUGCGUGCGCCGGACUAUUAUACUCAGAGCACAAGAUCGAGCCACCGCAGGCGCAGGCGAUUAACAAGUAAGAAGAAGAUUUUGUUCUGCUUCUACUGUGGCUGUGGUCCAAAAUCCAAUGAAGGAGGUUUUAAUUAGUUUGUAGCUAUAGUUGUUCCCUUCCCAUUCUGUAAAAAAGAAACAGAAAAGAAUAAUAAUGAAUUUUCUGGCUUUUUUUCUUGUGGGUUUUUGUUUGAGUUGAGGAGAGAGAGAGAGAGAGAGAGAGAGAGAGAGAGAGAGAGAGAGAGAGAGGAGAGAAAUGUGAGAGUUGUAAAUGUAGUAUUUUCUGUUAAAAAGUGGAUGAAAUUGAAAUGAAAUGUUAGCGUUGUGCA